rnacentral:rRNA from 1 species
UACGUAGGGUGCAAGCGUUAAUCGGAAUUACUGGGCGUAAAGCGUGCGCAGGCGGUUAUGUAAGACAGUUGUGAAAUCCCCGGGCUCAACCUGGGAACUGCAUCUGUGACUGCAUAGCUAGAGUACGGUAGAGGGGGAUGGAAUUCCGCGUGUAGCAGUGAAAUGCGUAGAUAUGCGGAGGAACACCGAUGGCGAAGGCAUCCCCUGGACCUGUACUGACGCUCAUGCGACGAAAGCGUGGGGAGCAAACAGG